rnacentral:lncRNA from 1 species
CAGUUUGCAGGUGCCUAUAUUACCGAGCAGGUGACGCAACCAAGCUCAAGGAGGAGCUCGAUGAAGAUCUUGCCCUUUGUGUUGUUUCGUUCUAGUUGAUCAGUAGUGGAGCCAGUUGGGGUCGAUCGGGGACCUUUGUCGCAUGUGGAGUUCUUCUUUUAUUUUGGUUCCCUAGUCGGACCUUGAUUGUAUCUGGAUGAUGUAAUGCUUUAUUCAUGUAAUUGUGUGAAGUGGCGAUUGUAAGCCAACUAUGUAUCUCUUUCCCUUAUGUAUUACAUGGGUUGUGUGAAGAUUACCUCAUUUGCGACAUUGCUUUCAAUGCGGUUAUGCCUCUAAGUCGUGCUUCGACACGUGGGAGAUAUAGCCGCAUCGAGGGCGUUACAAGUUGGUAAUCAGAGCCUUCCCCGACCUUAGGAGCCCCACUGCUUGAUCGUUUUUAGCGGCCGAGUUGUGUCUAGAAAAAUAUUUUGAGUCAUUUAGGAUUAUAUAUAUCGGAGAGUUAGGAAUUCUUUUUACUCCCCGGUCUCUUCAUCGCUCUAGUAAGGCAUCCUGACGUAGAGUUUUGACUCUUCUCUUCUCAAAUUUCACUAAAUUUUUUUUUAGGAUCACGCGGGUAUCUUGGAAUCGUUUCGAUGGUUUUAUGAUGAGAACAUUGUCUUGGUGCCUCCUGUCAGGGGUUUAGUGGAAGUGUCCCGGGGAGUUGAGCUCGGAGGUGUUGUCGUCAUAAUUUUAUCGUUGCAGUUCUGGAAUACCUGAGUUUAGUACGCCGACAUCGAAAAUCUCUUUUAUGCAGUUCGUUGGUGAGAUUACCCCGAUAACCCAGUACUGAGGUGAGUACGGGAGUAUUGCCAUAACUUGUAUAACGGAUGCUUUUCGAAGGUUGAGGUAGACGAUUUCCGAAGGUUUCUUGGUUAUGUGUUGAAGGAUGGAUACAGCUGGAUGUAGGAUUUGUUAGUUUGGGUGAGAUAUUAUGCUUCCCCUGUAUCCCCAACACCUGAUUGCAUAACCAGAAAAUUUCGGAGGUUUCGUAGGUGGGUAUUCAAGUAGCUCUUAGGAUAUCUUUCCGACAGAUGUAUGAUUUGAAAUUGGGGUUCGACGUCUAGUGGUCCGCCUAUUCACGGUUGGUUUUACAGUGGUCUCGUUGUGUCUUAAAGAGUCCUUGGCUAUGCCGACUCGGGGACGCUUCGUAUGUCAUGUGCACUGCCUUGUACAUGAUGGUGCUGUACGAUCGAGCCCGUGUAGGCCCUACCACGAAAACUUCGGACGAAAUCUCUAUCAUAUGUUUAUUCUGGCUUAUUUUGCAAGCCAAUCCUUUGUUUUGUUUUGAGUUGUGGUAUUCGAGUUGCUUCGAAGUCAAAUGUUGAUUCCAUACCUUUUCCAAAUGGUGUUCUCAUAUUCCUAUGUGAAUACUAAUCCUUCUUGAUCAUCGAGUCUGUCUUGUCAAUCCUUUUUCAACCGGUGUGUCUCUCCUCAAGUGGAUCCGUUCACGUCAACAUUUGCAAGAUCAUUUAUCCCUUCUUCUCAACGGUGUUUGUUUCAUCCGUAUCCAAGUUGCCUUUGUUUUUCCAGCCCACCCACCCUUUUUCCUCAAGGACUAAGAUUUCUUUACCAAGUAUCCUUUUAUUUUUGUGAAGUUUCUCCAUUCUUUUCCGUCAAUGUUCUUACCCGGUGGUUCUCAAGAAGAUGUUCUACUAGUUCGUCAUUCCUCAUUCCUUUCUCUUCUCCGGUGGAUUCAAGUCAAGUUUUGUUGAUCAUACCUUUUUCCUCAUUUCAAUGUCUUCUCAUACCGGUGCACCUCAUUAUCAUUCUACUUCUCGCUAUUUGUUAUUCCGGAGUGCUCAAGAUAUCUCGAAGAUUCGUGUUUCCACUCUGCAUUCGUUCAAGCUCUUUCGAGAUUGGUAUCUCAUUCAAGUCAUUUAAUUCAACCGGUGCAACAUCUCUUUUAAAUCUUUUCAACGGUGUUCUUUUUAGUGGGCCCUAACCCACAGGUCUUUUCCCAGGAUCUUACCUGACUCUUCUAUUUUCCCAGAGCUAUCCUAAAUUCUUCUCCAAGUUUGACGUAAGAAUGAGUUAUCAUCAGUCAAAUGCUUUUUCUCCAAGAUCUUUCAAAUUCUUUUCAUAGUUGGCUCAACCUCUUCGCUUUUGAUUCUUCUGGUGUGCCUCAAUAAUUCUUGGUGGUGUUUCUCGUUGUCAUUCUCAUCAUUUGAAGACCGAAGAAGAGUUUCUCUUUAAUCUUGCUCUAUUCUCUUCAAGAUUCAUGGUGCUAGCUUGUUGCCAUCCUCUCAUAAUUGUUUUCGAUUGUGAGAAUCUUUUUCACCCAUCAGGAGAUAUUCAAGAGUCUUCUCAGUUUGUCAUCCGGAGUCCAUCAAUUCAGGUUUAUUCAUUCUCAGCUGUCAGUUAUCAUUCUCCUAUCUUGCCGGUGCAUCAGUCGAAUAUCCUCUAAUCAGUUCUUGAUCUCUUUGUUCUCAUGUAUCUAGUUUGUCGCAAGCACCUUCGUUCAUUUGCUAAUUCUUACCGGUGAUGCACCCCUACUUCGAUCAUUUUCAAUUCUUAUGGUGGUUCUUUCAAGAUCUCUCUUCCUUGUUCAUCAAAUCAAUUCAUUUGUUGUUCCAAUCCUACCGGUGGUUCGUUGAAGACCUUCUCAAGUUUACGCUAUAUCUCUUUUAAUCCUUUCUACGAGAAUAAGUAGUAUGCCAAAUCCGUUGAUUGUCGUCAAUUUAAUUGGUGAAGGAUAAGCAUAACAUAAUUCUUAUUCUUGUUCAUCCAAGUGAUUAAUUCUUUAUUCCGGAGGACCUUAAAAUUCUCGGUUUCAUUUGUUUCAUCUUAUCUUUUUCCCGGAGUUCCAAGCUCUAAUUAUCACGGAGAUCCAUCUAAAUCAUUGCAAGGAUUCACCUUGUGUUUUCAAUUUCUCUUUCUUUUCAUUCCCUUUGUUUACCGGAGUUCUUCAUGGAGGUUCUACAUGAUGGUUCAUCAAGGAUUUAAUUCCCUUCUCAAAGUUUUCAUCGAGACUCUUUCCUAAAGAGCUCAAGCUUUCUUCAUAUGGUAAUCUGGAGUGCAAUUCUUUCUACCAUAUUUUGGAGGUGGUAUUAUGUCAUUCUUGAUAAUUUGAGUUCAUGUUCCAUGAUUCACAUGUUGUUAAGAAUGAGUUAUUUUUAAAUCCAUCAACCUCGUUGUUGGAGUUAUCUUGUGUCAUAUUUCACCUAAAAGCCUUCCAUUGGGAAUGUUGCUAUUUGUGGUGCUUGCCAAUGAUCCAAGUUAUCUCUUUAUCAUCUUGGUGGAAGAAGUUUUCAUCUCUUCGUUGAUCUCAAGCAAGCAAUUGUUUCCGUUAGUGGCCGGUUGUCACCUCAUAAUUUUGAGAUGUUUUCCAUAAGCCCACUACAAGCUUGUGCUUUUCGUUGUUGAUUUUCCAACAACUCCGUUCAAUUCUUCUUUGCAAGGAUGCUUUCCAAACUUAUUUGUGGCAGAAGUUGGCAUUUUCUUCUCCAUUCUGUUAUUCCAAUGAUAUAUCUUCUAUUAUUUCUUUCGGAGGCAUUGUGACGUUGCUCUUUUCACUCACCAUCUCGAUUCGUGAGGAUCGUGUUCUUUUCUUGCUUAUCCAUUUAACCGGAGUGUCGUGUUUUCAUUCGAGUUCUCUAAUCUUAUCAAGUUUUCCCUCCUUCCUCAACUGGAGAGCUGUCUGAAAUCCUUCUUACCCAUUGUGCCAUUCUUUCAAUAGUUCCGGAGGCAGUGUGUUGUUGAUUUCAUCAAGUAACAUCCCAUCUUCUCAAGUUCAUGUUCUAUUCCUUCCAUGUUCAACCGGAGUACUGCCCGAAUUCUUCCCCUCUCAUCUUGUUUUAACCGGAGUGGUUUCGAAUUCUAUCUUGUCCAUUAAACUCUUGAUUCAUGUCUUUGCAAACUUCAAGUUCUCGUAAUGUUCCUUGUUCCUCUUUCUAACGGAUUGUUUGCAAUCUCGUUCAUCUCCUUUGUAUUGUUUCUUUCAAUUUGUUCAACCUCUCAAGGUUCUUUGGUUUCACUCAUUGGUCAAAGAAGCAACUUAGUUUUACCUCUUCUCUUCCUCUUCCAUUUCUCUCCGGUGCCAUCCUAGAUCUCGGGACGAGAUCCUCUUGUAGUGGUGGAGUGUUGUAACGCCCCGAGACCGACGCUCCAGAAGACUUCCAGCUACUCCGAGUUUCGUCAUGUGAUUUGUUUUGUUUGUUGCAUCAUUUGCAUUGCAUCAUGCCAUCAUAUCAUUAAUUUUUAAAACCUCAACUAAAUAAAUUAUAUGGAUUUUUUUGAUCCAUUUAAAUCGAGGGACUCACAUGGUGACUUCUCUUUAUAACAUAUCCUCCAAUAUUAGGGAGCUAUAUUAAAUAUUCCACUAUUUUGGAAUCACCAAAACACACUUACAAAUAAUUUCGUUCCUUUUCUGCUUCAAGUUUGGUCUCCAACCUUGCCAAUAUUUAUUUCAUCAUUUUCCGGAGCUCCACCAAAAAUCCGAACAUUUUUGGACCUUCCUUUCAUCAAGUCCUAGUUCAAACCCAUUUGAAUUUCAAAUGAGUUUGAAUUUAAAUCUUUCGAUCAUGCCCACUUCUAUUUUUCCUGGAUCGAGCUCAUUUUUGUGAGUUCGGGAAAAUUGUCUCCAUGCGCAAAUCCUUUCCCAAACCCUCUCUUUCCUUUUCUUCUCUUUAAUUGUUUUCUGCUAAGAAAAUAUAAGAGAGAGAGAGAAGAGGGCCGCUUCCCCGCAGCCCAUUUGACCCAAGGCUAAGCCGGCCCAAGGCCCAGCCACGCCCCCCUCUAACCCUAGCCCGACUCCCUCCUGUCGAUCUCUCCGUCUGUGCCGCCGCCACACGCUCAUCGAUCGAUUCCCUCUCCUCGCGCCCGACCCCCAUCUCCUCGAGCAGCGCAUCACCGAUCCCCUCGCGUCCCUCGUCUCGAUCUCUCCCUCUCCCUCACUCGUGCCCCCAUCCUCACAGGGAGAGAGAGGAGCAGAGCCCUCGCGCGCGACCCCGCCGCCGAACCUUCUCCGCCUCGCGCCUCCACCUCCGUCGCCCUGCCUCGACGCCCGCACCUUCGCCGGCCUCGGCCUCCCGCGGCUGCCGCUGCUGGCCCCGCUGCCGAGCUCUCCACUGCGCCCGAACUCUCCCUCCACCCGCAGCGCCUGAACCCAUCGCCCCUCUCAGCCUCCUGCGCCCGUGCCCCUCCUCUGCCUCGUCUCUGUUUCCGGCCGUCGACAGCGAGCAGCUCCGUCGGAGCUCGUCCCCGAGCACGCCCAAUCUCCUCCCUCGCCUGUGGCCUCCUCCUCGUCGCCUCUGCGUGCGACCCUGCUCCCGCGCGCCUCCUCGCCCGCGCGACUCCUCCACCAAGCAGCCUGCCGUGCCCUGUCGGUCGCCUGACCGCCCCUUCCCUCGCCCGUCUCCGGCUAGGUCCGAGGUCUAGGGACCGGGUCCUCCUCAUCUCGGCCAUCCCCAUCGUCUGCCCCGCGCGCCGCCCUGUGGCUUCGCCUCCCGCAACCCCGCGGCGUCGCCUCGCCCUUGUCCCGCGUUGCCUCGGCCAGCCCUGUGCUGCUGUUUGCAUCCGCAAAGACCCGAGGCAUGAGUGUGCUCCACUGCUAGUUUCAUGGACGAAGAGUACCUCUACGAUGACCCUGGAUGUCUACGAGCGUCAAGUACCACUACAACCCAUGUUCGACUACGUGGAUUCGCCAAGUACCACGACGACCAUCGCUUGCCAAGAUCGACUACACGGUGAUGCGACAAGUACCUCUCUCGACGACCCUGGACGACUACAAAAACAUGUACCACUACCGUCGACCCUCGAAGACCCCGUGGACCCCGAACAUCUACGGAUCAUGAACACCUACUUCCACUAUGAGAUGUACCUCUACCGACGCCGCGAACGACUACUUCCCUCGACGACUCGAAUCGCUCUGAAAACGCACGCUUCGAAGGUAUAACCCCGAGACGCCGUCCGUGGACCGAAUGCAUGUGUUGUAUGAGAUGCACCCUAUGUUUGCACCGUGCCCGUUUGCUUCAUGCACGUUCCUCCUCGUUCGUCAUGCCGAUGAACCGUGGGAACCCGGUAACCGGGAUCACCCCACCAUCUCUAGCAUGUUCCGCACAUCCGCACGCCUCCUUUUGCACCGGUAUCUCCAUGAGUUACCGGGACCGGAAUGUUGCCGUGGCACCAUUUUUGUUUCGCCGCCGUGGCACCCUUUUUGUUCCGCCAUGGUGACCAAAUGCUUCAUAACAUGCUCAUGUCAACAUUUUCUUAAAAAAUUGCAUAAACCUUGUAUAUGUCAUCCGCAUCAUGAUAACAACAUUUAAAAUGUUUAAACUUGUUUUUGCAUUAAAUUGCUAAAUGCAUAUGGGGAUUUACCGGAUUUGUUGUUUUUAUAUCAGGCCCCAUUUAAAUUGUUUAGAUGGUGUAGUUUAAUUAUGUUUCACCCUCUUGCCAUGUUAACCAACAGUUAAUAUUGUUGGGUAGCUUAAACGAGAGAUAACUAAAUAAUUGAUGUGGUGUUCCGUCAACAUGCACCUCGUUGCAUAUUGAGCUCCACUUAACUUGUACUAUUGUUUGUUGCACUUUGCCAUGCCAUGCCUCAUUAAGCCGGCCAUGCAUCAUACUUGUUUGUGCAUCAUGACUUGUUUAUGCUUGUGUGUUUACUAUGUUGUUUGUUUCUUUCCGGGUUGCUUCUCUCGUUAGCUUCAGUUUCGUUCCGGAGUUGUGAGGAUUUGUUCGUCUACGACCGUUUGUCUUCUUCUUGGACUCGUUCUUCUUCCUUGCGGGAUCUCAGGCAAGAUGAUCAUACCCUCGAAAUCACCACUAUCUUUGCUAUGCUAGUUCGCUCGCUCUUUUGCCAUGCCAAUGCUACGAUGCCUACCAUUUGCUUGUCAGCCUCCCAAAUUGCCAUGUCAAACCUCUAACCCACCAUGUCCUAGCAAACCGUUGAUUGGCUAUGUUACCGCUUUGCUCAGCCCCUCUUAUAGCGUUGUUAGUUGCAGGUGAAGAUUGAAGUUUGUUCCUUGUUGGAACAUGGAGAUGUUGUUCCUUGUUGGAACAUGUUUACUUGUUGGGAUAUCACAAUAUAUCUUACUUAAUUAAUGCAUCUAUAUACUUGGUAAAGGGUGGAAGGCUCGGCCUUAUGCCUGGUGUUUUGUUCCACUCUUGCCGCCCUAGUUUCCGUCAUAUCGGUGUUAUGUUCCCGGAUUUUGCGUUCCUUACACGGUUGGGCUAUAAUGGGAACCCCUUGACAGUUCGCCUUAAGUAAAGAUCCUCCAGCAAUGCCCAACAUUGGUUUUAUCAUUUGCACUAACAACCUACCACCUUCCCUUGGGUUCUGCAGACUCAAGGGUCAUCUUUAUUCUAACCCCCCCGGGCCAGUGCUCCUCUGAGUGUUGGUCCGAACUGAACUGCCUGCGGGGCCACCUCGGGGAAACUUGAGGGUUGGUUUUACUCGUAGCUAGUCUCAUCUGAGUGUGCCCUGAGAAAGAGAUAUGUGCAGCUCCUAUCGGGAUUUGUCGGCACAUUCGGGCGGUGUUGCUGGUUUAGUUUUACCCUGUCGAAAUGUCUUGUUGUACCAGGAUACCGAGUCUGAUCGGAGUGUCUCGGGUGGAGGUCUAUUCCUUCGUUGACCGUGAGAGCUUGUCAUGGGCUAAGUUGGGACACCCCUGCAGGGUAUUAUCUUUCGAAAGUCGUGCCCGCGGUUAUGUGGCAGAUGGGAAUUUGUUAACAUCCGGUUGUAGAAAACCCGAAGCUGACCUUAAUUAAAAUACAUCAACCCUGUGUGUAACCGUGAUGGUCUCUUCUCGGCGGAGUCCAGGAAGUGAACACGGUGUUGGAGUUAUGCUUGACGUAGGUUGCUAUAGGAUCACUUCUUGAUCAUACUUUUAUCGAGCGUGCUUUGCCCUCUCUUCUCGCUCUCAGUUGCGAUUGUAGCCACCAUAUAUGCUAGUCGCUUGCUGCAGCUCCACCUCAUUACUCCAUCCUUCCUAUGAGCUUAAAUAGUCUUGAUCUCACGGGUGCGAGAUUGCUGAGUCCCCGUGGCUCACAGAUACUUUCAAAACCAGUUUGCAGGUGCCUAUGUUACCGAGCAGGUGACGCAACCAAGCUCAAGGAGGAGCUCGAUGAAGAUCUUGCCCUUUGUGUUGUUUCGUUCUAGUUGAUCAGUAGUGGAGCCCAGUUGGGGUCGAUCGGGGACCUUUGUCGCAUGUGGAGUUCUUCUUUUAUUUUGGUUCCGUAGUCGGACCUUGAUUGUAUCUGGAUGAUGUAAUGCUUUAUUCAUGUAAUUGUGUGAAGUGGCGAUUGUAAGCCAACUAUGUAUCUCUUUCCCUUAUGUAUUACAUGGGUUGUGUGAAGAUUACCUCACUUGCGACAUUGCUUUCAAUGCGGUUAUGCCUCUAAGUCGUGC